UGGGGAAUAUUGGACAAUGGGGGCAACCCUGAUCCAGCCAUGCCGCGUGUGUGAAGAAGGCCUUUUGGUUGUAAAGCACUUUAAGCGAGGAGGAGGCUACCUGUAUUAAUACUAUAGGCUAGUGGACGUUACUCGCAGAAUAAGCACCGGCUAACUCUGUGCCAGCAGCCGCGGUAAUACAGAGGGUGCGAGCGUUAAUCGGAAUUACUGGGCGUAAAGCGCGCGUAGGCGGUUUGUUAAGUCGGAUGUGAAAUCCCCGGGCUCAACCUGGGAAUUGCAUUCGAUACUGGCAAGCUAGAGUAUGGGAGAGGAAGGUAGAAUUCCAGGUGUAGCGGUGAAAUGCGUAGAGAUCUGGAGGAAUACCGAUGGCGAAGGCAGCCUUCUGGCCUAAUACUGACGCUGAGGUGCGAAAGCAUGGGGAGCAAACAGGAUUAGAUACCCAAGUAGUCCCUGAGCGGGCUGGCAAGGCGCAU
rnacentral:rRNA from 1 species